GGGUGUGGUGGUUUGACAAGAUUCUUCUAAUGGCUUUUUAUCGCCAGCAACCACAAUUAUGACAACUUCCUGAUGCGUCAACACCAUAUUAUAGUAUAUCAGCAAAUUUCAAGUCUAAUGGCAAUGUCUUUUGCCAAUGUAAGUGCUCGCAGGUGGUGGAAAUAAAUAAGGCAUACCUUUCUAAAGCCUUACGCCUAGAAAAAGGCCUGGGCCUAAGCACAUAAAACAAGCGCCUAUUAAAGGUCAACUGCCUUUCACUUGUAGAGGCUUUAGGGUUGGAGCCUUGUCUGAGAUGCCUUUAUUAACACCAUUUUAAACUCGGAAAACCAGUAUGCUAAAACAUCAACAAAACAGAACAGCCUAUUCAUUUGAAGUAGAAAACUUAAUUAGCACUUGCUGCAUAUAACACGAAUGAGUCAUGCAUCUUGGAAAUCUUCUUGACCCAGAGGCCAACUUCUUUA
rnacentral:misc_RNA from 1 species